GACGAACGCUGGCGGCGUGCUUAACACAUGCAAGUCGAACGGUAAGGCCCUUCGGGGUACACGAGUGGCGAACGGGUGAGUAACACGUGGGUGAUCUGCCCUGCACUUCGGGAUAAGCCUGGGAAACUGGGUCUAAUACCGGAUAGGACCACUGCCUGCCUGGGGGGUGGUGGAAAGCUUUUGCGGUGUGGGAUGGGCCCGCGGCCUAUCAGCUUGUUGGUGGGGUGAUGGCCUACCAAGGCGACGACGGGUAGCCGGCCUGAGAGGGUGACCGGCCACACUGGGACUGAGAUACGGCCCAGACUCCUACGGGAGGCAGCAGUGGGGAAUAUUGCACAAUGGGCGCAAGCCUGAUGCAGCGACGCCGCGUGAGGGAUGACGGCCUUCGGGUUGUAAACCUCUUUCAGCACCGACGAAGCGCAAGUGACGGUAGGUGCAGAAGAAGGACCGGCCAACUACGUGCCAGCAGCCGCCGCCG
rnacentral:rRNA from 1 species